rnacentral:rRNA from 1 species
UACGUAGGGUGCAAGCGUUAAUCGGAAUUACUGGGCGUAAAGCGUGCGCAGGCGGUUUUGUAAGUCUGACGUGAAAUCCCCGGGCUUAACCUGGGAAUGGCGUUGGAGACUGCAAGGCUGGAAUCUGGCAGAGGGGGGUAGAAUUCCACGUGUAGCAGUGAAAUGCGUAGAGAUGUGGAGGAACACCGAUGGCGAAGGCAGCCCCCUGGGGAGUACCUGACGCUCAGGUGCGAAAGCCAGGGGAGCGAACGGG